AAUGAACGCUGGCGGCGUGCCUAAUACAUGCAAGUCGAGCGAACGGACGAGAAGCUUGCUUCUCUGAUGUUAGCGGCGGACGGGUGAGUAACACGUGGAUAACCUACCUAUAAUUCUGGGAUAACUUCGGGAAACCGGAGCUAAUACCGGAUAAUAUUUUGUACCGCAUGGUUCAAAAGUGCAUGACGGUCUUGCUGUCACUUAUAGAUGGAUCCGCGCUGCAUUAGCUAGUUGGUAAGGUAACGGCUUACCAAGGCAACGAUGCAUAGCCGACCUGAGAGGAUGAUCGGCCACACUGGAACUGAGACACGGUCCAGACUCCUACGGGAGGCAGCAGUAGGGAAUCUUCCACAAUGGGCGAAAGCCUGACGGAGCAACGCCGCGUGAGUGAUGAAGGUCUUCGGAUCGUAAAACUCUGUUAUUAGGGAAGAACAUAUGUGGAAGUAACUGUGCACAUCUUGACGGUACCUAAUCAGAAAGCCACGGCUAACUACGUG
rnacentral:rRNA from 1 species